rnacentral:tRNA from 1 species
CGGGGUGUAGCGCAGUUGGUAGCGCGCGUGCUUUGGGAGCAUGAGGUCGCAGGUUCGAUCCCUGUCACUCCGACCA